AAGCUAGCGAUUGAUCCUGAUGUGGAAGGGCAUUGAUCGGGACGCUGAAACCUCGCGCAAGAUGGAAACGGACGAGCGUGUGAGGCUGGGAUUCGGAUGAUUUCGAAUCUGGAAGAGGAGGAUGUGGCUAGGAUGGAUCGUGGAUGGCUGGAGGAGGCUGAGACGCUGAAACGCGGCUGGAAUUGCUGGAUGCUGAGAGGAGCAGAUCCGGAAUGGAGCUGUAGACGCGUUGUGAACGUAGACGGAAGAAGAGGCCGCUAAUCCGCCUUUGUGAACGCGCUGGGAUGUUGACGCGAAAUGAUUGGACCAUGGAGAAGGUGGUCGUCCUGUCUCUGGUCCGCGGGAUUGCUCAGUCCAUGGCAUGCAUCGCAGGAUCUAGGAUAUGAAAAUGGAAGGAGCUGCAGACGGACGUCAAUUCGGAAGGAGCUGGGAUGAGGGCGUGGAUCUGGAUGAAGGGGACUCGGAACAAAAUUUUUGGGAUUCGAAAGCUAGACGUGGCUGGGCGGAAGAAGAGGGUGGACGCGAUGCAGGGAGAUCGCGAUCAAUGGGGCACGGAUGCUGGGAUGGAUCGCGGAAGGAAGAAGAGGAGUUUUGGAAUGGAUGCGGGAUCCGUGGGAUGCUGUGACUUGAUGCUUGGGCUCACACGUGAUCUCACGGGAUGAGAUAUGCAGAGACUGAUUUGGAAGGAUGCGGACGGUUGGUGGGACUUCACUGUUAGCUCCCCUACUCUAUGUCUUCAAACCGGGCUAGGUUCUGUGAUCCUUGGAUGGUUGGUGGGAAUCCAUCAGAUAUGACAGAUUCCUUCUCAGAUUUGGCAGCUCUUCGGGAGGCGAAUCAGAAAGCAGGGGAUACGGGAGACGGGCUGAUAUGCGUGGGCUGGAUGGGAAGUCGUUCGGGGGCAAAUGUGCUUGACCGGGUCAUGGUAGGAUUGGGCCUGCGCCAUCUGUACCAAAUGCGUAUUUAAACUUUAAUUUAUAAUAACCUGUGCCAAACGAAAAUAUAAUAUUAAACCAGUGAAUUUAUCAUUAUAUGUUAACAAUAAUAUUAAUUUAAGCAGUGUUUAGAUCGCACUUUUCUACUUUCAUCAAUGGCGUGCG
rnacentral:lncRNA from 1 species